rnacentral:rRNA from 1 species
CUCGUGUCGUGAGAUGUUCGGUUAAGUCCGGCAACGAGCGCAACCCACAUCCUUAGUUACCAGCGGUUCGCCGGGAACUCUAAGGAAACUGCCCGUGAUAAGCGGGAGGAAGGUGUGGAUGACGUCAAGUCCUCAUGGCCCUUACGGGUUGGGCUACACACGUGCUACAAUGGCAGUGACAAUGGGUUAAUCCCAAAAAACUGUCUCAGUUCGGAUUGUCGUCUGCAACUCGACGGCAUGAAGUCGGAAUCGCUAGUAAUCGCGUAACAGCAUGACGCGGUGAAUACGUUCCCGGGCCUU